UACGGAGGGUGCAAGCGUUAUCCGGAUUCACUGGGUUUAAAGGGUGCGUAGGCGGGCAGGUAAGUCCGUGGUGAAAUCUCUGAGCUUAACUCAGAAACUGCCAUGGAUACUAUUUGUCUUGAAUGUUGUGGAGGUAAGCGGAAUAUGUCAUGUAGCGGUGAAAUGCUUAGAUAUGACAUAGAACACCAAUUGCGAAGGCAGCUUGCUACACAAAUAUUGACGCUGAGGCACGAAAGCGUGGGGAUCAAACAGG
rnacentral:rRNA from 1 species